UGGGGAAUAUUGGACAAUGGGCGAAAGCCCGAUCCAGCCAUGCCGCGUGUGUGAAGAAGGUCUUCGGAUUGUAAAGCACUUUAAGUUGGGAGGAAGGGCAGUAAGCGAAUACCUUGCUGUUUUGACGUUACCGACAGAAUAAGCACCGGCUAACUCUGUGCCAGCAGCCGCGGUAAUACAGAGGGUGCAAGCGUUAAUCGGAAUUACUGGGCGUAAAGCGCGCGUAGGUGGUUCGUUAAGUUGAAUGUGAAAGCCCCGGGCUCAACCUGGGAACUGCAUCCAAAACUGGCGAGCUAGAGUAGGGCAGAGGGUGGUGGAAUUUCCUGUGUAGCGGUGAAAUGCGUAGAUAUAGGAAGGAACACCAGUGGCGAAGGCGACCACCUGGGCUCAUACUGACACUGAGGUGCGAAAGCGUGGGGAGCAAACAGG
rnacentral:rRNA from 1 species